CUGCUCCUCCUCAAGCCCCCAAGGCCCUUCGGCGGGCCCCUGCUGAAAGACCGGCAUGCCCUAUUCUGUGGGCUUCCGCGAAAGUCUGUGGUGGCUGCUCUGAAAAGCAUUUAAGAGCCUGGAAGGGGAGAUGGGCUGUGCCUCGACCACAAACCGCGCCAAAAGGAACCUGCUACAAGAUACAAUGCUUUGGAAACUCGGGAGGAGGAGAGAAAACUGCAUCGGAGGGAAUCAAGGGACGAUCUGCAGGGAGGUGCCUUUAAGUUGGCUGUAAGGGGCACUCCAGAGUACAGGGAGAAGAGACGCGGGAGGGUUCCCAGGCGGAGAGUACCGCUGAUGACAACGCUGCCCGACAGUGCGGAAAGCAUGAGGUCAGCUCGGACCCUCGGCUACCAAGUGGACCCAGAAGGGCCGAGCAAGGCUCCGCCAGGGUGUUUAAAGGGUCUGGAAAGCACCGAGGAGCAAUGGACGGCUCUGAGCGGGAGGACCCUUGCAGUGAGUGAUCUGGAAAGGAAGGAAGCCUGGAGACCGCAAGAUCAAUUCGGCAACUCCUGCGGGAAGGCCCAGGCCCGGAAGUGAUGGAGACCCUCAGGGAUGCGCAGCGAGCAGGGGCAGCAGUGGUUGGGACUGGAGUGACCACACCCACAAGAGGGGAAGGUCGGACCCCAGCCAGGCCUCAUCUAAGAACCAUGCAGGCAGGAGCGCAUUUCAUCCCCAUAGUUAUCCCGUGAGGUCACUACAGGCUACAGAUAAGGACACUGAGGCACAGAGAGAUUGAUUUACUCACCUCUCCGUAGCUAGACAGCUGCGGACUAGGGCAGGAAGCCAGGCAAGCUGGCCCUAGACUCAGAGUCCUUAAUCACAAA
rnacentral:lncRNA from 10 species